rnacentral:rRNA from 1 species
GAUGAACGCUAGCUACAGGCUUAACACAUGCAAGUCGAGGGGCAGCAUGACGAUAGCUUGCUAUUGUCGAUGGCGACCGGCGCACGGGUGAGUAACGCGUAUCCAACCUUCCCCAUAGUAGGGCAUAGCCCGUAGAAAUGCGGAUUAAUACCCUAUGUUUUCCGAAGCAGGCAUCUAAUUUGGAACAAAGGUUCACCGCUAUGGGAUGGGGAUGCGUUCCAUUAGGCAGCAGGCGGGGUAACGGCCCACCUGGCCGGCGAUGGAUAGGGGUUCUGAGAGGAAGGUCCCCCACACUGGAACUGAGACACGGUCCAGACUCC